rnacentral:rRNA from 1 species
AGUCGUAACAAGGUUUCCGUAGGUGAACCUGCGGAAGGAUCAUUACAAAUCGGUUGGUUAAGGGGGAAUUUUGGGGGGAAGCUUUGGUUUCUCUCCAGGCGACUGCUUAACCAACACAUAUGCACAGGGUCGCAAGACUCUGAUGUUUACGCUUGUAUGUUUGACUGUAUCAUGAGACACUAAAUAUAGACAACUUUAAACAAUGGAUCUCUUGGCUCUUGCAACGAUGAAGAACGCAGUAAAGUGCGAUAUGUAGUGCGAUUUGCAUGAAUCUGUGAGUCAUCUAAUCUUUGAACGCAACUUGCGCCUCUAUGAGGCAUGUUUGUUUGAGUGCCGCAUACUCUCUGCAGCAAUGCGACUUGACCGUGUCUCUGACUCGGUCUAAACAAAGCCGGAAAGUGGCUGUAUAGACUAGCCCGAGUGCUAAGCAUUCUUGGAACUAGUCUACACUAACCACCAAAUAUUCUAACUUUGGCCUCAAAUCAAGCAAGACUACCCGCUGAACUUAAGCAUAUCAGUAAGCGGAGGAAAAGAAACUAACAAGGAUUCCCCUAGUAACGGCGAGUGAAGCGGGAAAAGCUCAAAUUUAAAAUCUCGACGCCCCGCGUCGCGAAUUGUAGUCUAAAGAGGGCAAUCUAGGGUAGGGUGGAUGCUAAAGUCCCUUGGAAUAGGGCACCAGAGAGGGUGAGAGUCCCGUAAAAGCAUCUGACCUGCCUCAAGUGAAAGCCUCUCAACGAGUCGAGUUGUUUGGGAAUGCAGCUCAAAGUGGGUGGUAAAUCUCAUCUAAGGCUAAAUACUGGCAAGAGACCGAUAGCGAACAAGUACCGUGAGGGAAAGAUGAAAAGCACCUUGAAAAGGGAGUUAAAUAGUGCGUGAAAUUGUUUAAAGGGAAACGAUAGAGACCAGUGUUGAUGCGUGCUUCAAGCCGGUGCCUUGGUGCCGGUAGCGAGUGCGCAUCGAGUCAAUGCCAGUUGCGGUUGCCGGAUACGAGUAGCAGGAAGGUGGGGCGGGUUUUAGGACGCGCUCUUUAUAGACUGUUAUUUCUGCGGCCGCUGCGACUGGAAGUUUGGGACCGCCAGGCGACUAGUGGGGAAUGAUGACCGGACAGCAUUGCUGGCCGGCUACUCUCCCCCCUCUACGAGC